GAAAGACACCUCAGCACUGUGACACACAGCUAAGGAGCUCUGGCCCUUAUGAGGCUGUCUCUGAUGCCCAACCCUGGGCAUUUGGUGACCAGUGGGUGUGCUCGGCUCAGCCCUGGGAGGAUCUCCCUGUUUAGUGUUUCUGCUACUCUGGAACCCCACCUCCUCCUGUCCUCUCCUCUCACACCAGGGGCCAUGCUCCUGGCAUUUCAGAGCCCCCAGCCUCAUAACCACCACCCCAGGACCAGCACUCCUUUCCUCCCUGGGCAGUAGGCCACACAUGGGCACUAGGAGCAGGUGUAAGGGGGUGACUGGUUGAGAGUGGCACUAGGUAGUGUGGACAUCCUGAAGGGGCCUUUGCCUGCCAGACCCAGCUGGGAGAUCCCUGAAGGGAACACAAGGAAUUGUCACUAGCACCGAAGCAGCCUCACCAUGCGCCAGCUGUUCUAUGCACUUAACACACAGCAGCCUAUGUAGUAGACACUAUCAUUACCUUCACUUUAGAGAUGGGAAAAUCGAGGCAAGGGCUAAACAGCUGGUCCAAGGCCACACAGCUUGAGACUGGCAGAACAGAGAUCUGAGCCCAUCAUGGGAGCCAGCAUGCCAUUGGCACCCUGCAGAUGGUACCCCCUAAUCCAAUCCCGCUCACCCCACCAUCUCUCUCUGCCACAGACAGGUCUGUUAUAUCUGCAGCUGCAUCCUCAAGACAUGUGCUGUCUCCCCAAGUCAGGACAAGCUCAUGAGGUGGAUGGCCACUGGUUGAAGUCCCUCAGCCUGCUUUCCCCACCUGCAGGCCCAGCAACCCCACCAAACCCACGCCUGGCCCUGGCUUGGAUACCAUACCCUUCAAGGAUUUUAUGCAGAGCACCUUGCUGCCAGGAUGACCUGGGCCAGCCAAGGUUCCUUUACACCCAGUGAGGAAAUGCCUACAAAACCGCUCAGCUUGGGGCCUGGCAGGCUGCGGCUCCAUGUAGGAGCUUCCCUUCCCUUUGCCUUCAUCUCUCCACGUGGCUGGCCACAGUCAAAUGGCAGAUUCCUACCUCCAGCCUCUACUCCACAUCACCUACACUGCCGGAUAAAGGGCAGACUCCUUUUGGGCCAUGGUCAUCUGCAAUACUUUUCUGCCUUCCCUCUACCUGGAGAACUCCUUCUUCUCCAGAAGAACUCAGCAGAAGUGUCACUUCCUCCAAAGCCUUCCAGGGUGCCCCAGGCAGUGGGCGGCUCCUGCCCCAGUGGCCACAGUGCUCUGCCCACACUGCCUAGAAUACUUACUGAGAGCUUUUGGUACUGGCGAUUUAUUUGAUGUCUCUAGCCGGGGCUCCACAAAGAUGAAUACAUGUGUCUUCUUUUUUUCUUUGGAUUACUUAACAAAAAUUUUUAAAAAUUAUAAAAAUAAUGAAUAAGAUGCAUGUUAUAAAAAAUGUUUUUAAAUGCACAGCGUGAAGUCCCAACCCCUUCCCCAGAAAAUGCCAUGGUUAAUAGUUUUGUUGGUUUCAUUCUGUCUGUAUUUAUUUUCUCUGUAGAAAUUUAUUUGAUUUUUUUUUUACAUAAACAAGAUCAAUCUAUAUGCAUUUGUCCUACAGCUUGCUUUUCUCACUUAAUAAUACAUUGUGUGUGUGACAGAGUAAUGCUUCCCCAAAUAUGUACACAUCCUAAUCCCCCAAAUCUUUGAAUAUGUUAUCCUAAAUGACAAAAGGACCCUCGCAGAUGUCAUUGAAUUAAGGCUCGUAAGAUGGGAAAGUUACCCUGAUUAUCAGGGAGGGUCUGAUAUAAUCCUAUGGAUCCUUAUAAGAGAGAGGCAGGAGGGCCAGAGAAAAAUUUGAAGAUGCUACACUGUUGGCUUUGAAGAUGGAGGAAGCGCCCAUAAGCCAAGGAAUGCAGGCAGCCUCCGGAAGCUGAAAAAGGCAAGAAAUGGACCCACCCCUGGAGCCUCCAGAAGAAAUGCAGCCCUGAAGAUACCUUUAUUUUAGCCCAAGGAGACUCUUGACUUAUGUAAAC
rnacentral:lncRNA from 1 species